GAACAAACCAAAUUGUGGAGCUAAGAUUCUUUCGCUCUAAGCAAAAAAAAUCCACUCACCACGAAUGGGGAUUUGGGAAGGAGUUGUUGGAGAAGGAGGUGACGAAGGCUGCAGAGCCGCUAUCGUCUCGCACACUAGCCCCAUGAUCCCAAGACACCUAUUUCUCCAGAAUGCACUCAACUUCUUCUUCACCAAUCGUUCGCUGCCGCUUUAGGGCUCGCUGUCCCUUAACGACACUCCGGCCUCCGUCGUUGAUUCCAAGAGCGGUGUGUUAUUUCUGUUAGUCCUAGCCGGGACUCGGUGACUUCUGGGAAUUGUGUUGAGGAGAAAACGUGUGUUGGGCUUGUAUAACAUCGAUUUGAUAUGGUAUCUAAACAGAUAGUCAGAAGACAUGGUGACUGCAGCUCGACCCACGUGGGCUCCUGCGAAAGGUGGUAAUGAAUAAGGUGGUACUCGGAUUUUUGGCCCAUCCCAUACAACUCUAAAACCCAAAAAGGACGGAAAGGACACUUAGGAAGAACUGCAGAAAAGGAACCUCCAGGAGGAGUUGGAAGACCAUGAGAGGAGGCAUUUUUCAUCAAAGGAUAAAUAUAGUUAUGACAGAGAUCGCAGCAGGAGAGGGAGCCAGCUUUUGUUGGAAAAUCCUGCUGCAGAGCAUUUUGACUACCCUGUGGCUUUAGAUAUCAGGGAGCUAACUAACUUGGAUGAUGUUAUGGAGGAACUUGGACAGGG